rnacentral:lncRNA from 1 species
UGAUCAAGCAUAAUUUAGCCACAUUUUUAUCAUAAUUAUUAUUGCUUAUUUACACAUUUUUCAGUUUAAUUUAUGGUUUUUAUCUUGUUUUUACAGAAAAGGAAGAAAUUGGAAAAUGGGAGAAAAAGUGCAGAAAAUUUACAAAAGGAUGAUUUACCCAGUGAUUUGCCCAAGAUCACCAGAUAAUCUGCUCCAAUCACUGCCCAGAUCAAGCUAAAGCAGAAACCCGGAGGCAACAGGCAGUAGUGAUAUGGCAAGUGAUUUGCCCAAGACACUCGAAGAUCACUGGCCAAAUCACUGGCAGAGACAUAGGGGACUGACUCACAGAGAAGUGAUUGGGGCAGUGAUUUGCCCAAAAUACUCAAAUCACCGGGCAAAUCACUUUGACAGCAGAAACUUACAGCAGAGCGGGAAAAUGGGCAGAAAACAGAAAUCCGAAUUUUCAGAAGUCCAAAUCCAAUCCAAUCACUUCCAACACAAAACCAAGAGCCACGAAAGAGUCUCUCAUCCAAGGAAUUCCAAUUGCAAUUAAAAUCAACAUCAAAAGAGGAGUCAAACACCAAAUCAAAGAGGGAUUUUAAAACCCUAGAUGGAGAGAAAUUCUGCAGCUAUAAAAGUAGAGCCUCCAAACCAGCAAAGG